CCUACGGGAGGCAGCAGUGGGGAAUUUUGGACAAUGGGCGAAAGCCUGAUCCAGCAAUGCCGCGUGCAGGAUGAAGGCCUUCGGGUUGUAAACUGCUUUUGUACGGAACGAAACGGUCUUUUCUAAUACAGAAGGCUAAUGACGGUACCGUAAGAAUAAGCACCGGCUAACUACGUGCCAGCAGCCGCGGUAAUACGUAGGGUGCAAGCGUUAAUCGGAAUUACUGGGCGUAAAGCGUGCGCAGGCGGUUAUGUAAGACAGUUGUGAAAUCCCCGGGCUCAACCUGGGAAUUGCAUCUGUGACUGCAUAGCUAGAGUACGGUAGAGGGGGAUGGAAUUCCGCGUGUAGCAGUGAAAUGCGUAGAUAUGCGGAGGAACACCGAUGGCGAAGGCAAUCCCCUGGACCUGUACUGACGCUCAUGCACGAAAGCGUGGGGAGCAAACAGGAUUAGAUACCCUGGUAGUCCACGCCCUAAACGAUGUCAACUGGUUGUUGGGUCUUCACUGACUCAGUAACGAAGCUAACGCGUGAAGUUGACCGCCUGGGGAAGUCGGCCGCAAGGUUGAAACUCAAAGGAAUUGACGGCNGAGAGNGCGAGACGACGACGAGGGAGGAGG
rnacentral:rRNA from 1 species